rnacentral:tRNA from 1 species
GCCUGGGUGGCUCAGCAGUUGAGCAUCUGCCUUCAGCUCAGGGAGUAAUCCUGGAGUCCCGGGAUCAAGUCCCGCUCAGGCU